rnacentral:rRNA from 1 species
CGGGCACUACUAACGAGGCGGAGAAAUUCUAUUGAAAGGUUCCAGAGUAGGCGCUACAACGCCGAAAUGACCUUCUCACCCUUGUGUACUCACUAUGUUGCUUUGGCGGGUCGACAUGGUUCCGACCCAGGCGGCCGGCGCNCCCAGCCUUAACUGGCCAGGACGCCCGGCUAAGUGCCCGCCAGUAUACAAAACUCAAGAAUUCAUUUUGUGAAGUCCUGAUAUAUCAUUUAAUUGAUUAAAACUUUCAACAACGGAUCUCUUGGUUCUGGCAUCGAUGAAGAACGCAGCGAAAUGCGAUAAGUAAUGUGAAUUGCAGAAUUCAGUGAAUCAUCGAAUCUUUGAACGCACAUUGCGCCCUCUGGUAUUCCGGAGGGCAUGCGUGUUCGAGCGUCAUUUCAACCCUCAAGCUCUGCUUGGUAUUGGGCAACGUCCGCUGCCGGACGUGCCUUGAAGACCUCGGCGACGGCGUCCUAGCCUCGAGCGUAGUAGUAAAUAUCUCGCUUUGGAGUGCUGGGCGACGGCCGCCGGACAUCGACCUUCGGUCUAUUUUUCCAAGGUUGACCUCGAUCAGGUAGGGAUACCGCUGGACUGUAG